AGUUCGACGAGGAGGCUAGACUGCAAUCGACAGUACAAGACGUGUUAGCUUUAUUUCAAGAUACGAAAGUUCGGCCACUCCGCUUCCGGAAUCCGCGCUGUCUCUUCGUGCCACGAGACGAGAGUAUUCCAUUCGAAUCUUGGAUUCGUUCGAUGACCAUCCUCGAUCACCAGGCCGCCUUAAGCUUUCCUUCUCCUAUAAAUUAUUGCAACGAAUUUCCCGCGAAUCGAUAUUAAAGGAAACAUUCUCCAACCCCAAAGAGACAAAGUUCUUCUAAAAAGCAGUAGAGGAUGAUCAAAUCCGCCAGCCACUAUGACAAUAAAAUUUAUCACCGAACUGUAUAUUUCUUCGUUCCUGGCCUCUUAAAAUUGCCCCUGUUCGCGAGCUCGAAGAAAAGACGAAAUCGAAGAGAGGCGAGAAGGAGGAGGGGUGUGAAAAAAUAAUAGGGGGAUGACAUCGGUGCGUACAGAGCCGAUAAAAAUCGUUGACAACAGUCGUGCCGUAAAUUUCUCGCGGGAGAGAGAGAGAAGGGGGAGAGGAGGAGAAGGAGAAAGAAUUAUUGCUGCCGGAUAAAGGCAAGGAAACAACGACGAUCCUGACCAAAAGUGCAUGCAGCGCACGUGGAGGCAACCCCAAGUCGCGGGGAGAUGUGGCGUUACUGACAUUAACUUACGUUACUUUUGCUCUUCGUUCUUCUCUUCUCCGAGCGUGACUCAACGAAAGGGUAAAAAAAGAAAAAAGAAGAAGAAAAAAAAAAUAAAAAGGAAAAAAAAAGUUCGAUGGACCGAGAUGGAAACACGAUGACAAAGAAAAUUGCGGGUUGCGACUUAAUCCGUGCAUUGUUUCCCAUUUGAGAUUUUUAAGCUCCCCCGUCUUUCUCUUUGAUGAUCUCUUUGAUCUUUGUCGAUUGUUGUUGAAUUAGAAGAACGUAUGGAUAAAUUCGAGAUUUAUUACAUAUCGUAGAAGGAUCUGACAGAUUCUUAAUUUAAUUAAGAGCAAUAUAAAUUUGAACUUGUAUUGUAAUUUGUAAGAAUAAAGGAAUUAGAAGAAAAUUAAA